rnacentral:rRNA from 1 species
CCUACGGGGGGCAGCAGUGAGGAAUAUUGGUCAAUGGGCGGAAGCCUGAACCAGCCAAGUAGCGUGCAGGAUGACGGCCCUACGGGUUGUAAACUGCUUUUAUACGGGAAUAACGCGCCUUACGUGUAGGGCUUUGCAUGUACCGUAUGAAUAAGGACCGGCUAAUUCCGUGCCAGCAGCCGCGGUAAUACGGAAGGUCCGGGCGUUAUCCGGAUUUAUUGGGUUUAAAGGGAGCGUAGGCCGCAUGUCAAGCGUGCUGUGAAAUGUCCGGGCUCAACCCGGGCCUUGCAGCGCGAACUGGCGUGCUUGAGUCGGCGGAAAGCAGGCGGAAUUCGUCGUGUAGCGGUGAAAUGCUUAGAUAUGACGAAGAACCCCGAUUGCGAAGGCAGCAUGCUGCAGCGGAACUGACGCUGAUGCUCGAAAGCGCGGGUAUCGAACAGGAUUAGAUACCCCUGUAGUC